GUCUGGGCAACUUAGAUCCUGUCUCAAAAUAAAAUUUUAAAAAGGGCUGGGAUGUAGCUCAGUGAUAGAGUGCUUGCCUAGCAUGAGCAACGCCCUGGGUUUGAUCUGUAAGGAAUAAGCAGCAAAAAUUUCUCUGUCAUACGAAAGCAUAUGUCUCCCAUUAUACUUUUUUGGUAAAACUUAUUCCUCAGUUUUUACAAAAAAAAAUGGAAUUGAUCAGGACCUAAAUGUAGGAGCUAAUAUAUAAAACUCUUAUAAGGAUACACAGGUACAAAUCUUCUAAUCUUGGACACCAAAGCACAAGAAACAAAGGGAAGAACAGGCAAAUUGGAUAUCUUCAAAAUUAAAAACUUCCAUGCUUCAAAGGAUACGAGUAAGUGAAAAGUCAACUUAGAGAAUGGAAAAAAAUUGCAAAUCAUAUAUUUAGGAAUUAAAAUGUAUAAAAACUGUUUCAACUUAAAAGGAUAACUCAGUAAUAAAAAGACAACCCAAUAGUAAAUUGAUUUAAAGAUAUGACUAGAUACUCCUCCAAAGAAAAUUUUUAAAAUGUGCAUAAGGACAUGAAAAAAUGCUUGACAUAAUAAGCUAGGAAAUGCAAAUCAAACCCACAAUUAGACACCUCUUCACACCUACUGGGCUAUCUACAAUAUGAAGGCACAUAAUAAAAAAAAU
rnacentral:lncRNA from 1 species